GGGGGAUAGGAAUUGAUGUGCGCAGUAAAUCAAGAACAAUAUCAAAGCCUGUUGAAGAUCCCUCUAAGCUCCCUAGAUGGAACUAUGAUGGAUCUAGCACUGGACAGGCACAGGGUGAUAAUAGUGAAGUAAUCCUAUAUCCUCAAGCAAUUUUCAAAGAUCCUUACCGUGGCGGUAACAAUAUUUUGGUUAGGGUUGUUAUACUUGAAAGAGGUCACAUGGCAUGUUGAUUGAAAUUUAAAUAUAGAUAUUAUGAAGUUAACUAGAUAUAUUUUGUUUUGCUAAGGUCAUUUACGAUUCUUACACCCCACAAGGAGAGCCUAUCCCUAGUUCCCUACAAACAAGAGACACUGAAAUUUUCAGUAACCCAAAGGUCCAAGCUGAAGUUCCAUGGUAUAUAUAAUACUUCCUAUUUUGUGUAAUUAUCUUUUUAAUAUCUUUUAAAUCACAUAUUUCUUCAAAAUAAAGCAUAUUAAAAUUCUCUUUUGAUACA